AUACGGAGGGUGCAAGCGUUAUUCGGAAUCACUGGGCGUACAGGACGCGUAGGCGGGUUUGUAAGUCAGGUGUGAAAUCCUACAGCUUAACUGUAGAACUGCACUUGAAACUACAGACCUAGAGUAUGGGAGGGGCAGAUGGAAUUAGUGGUGUAGGGGUAAAAUCCGUAGAUAUCACUAGGAAUACCGAAAGCGAAGGCGAUCUGCUGGAACAUAACUGACGCUAAGGCGUGAAAGCGUGGGGAGCAAACAGGAUUAGAUACCCUAGUAGUCC
rnacentral:rRNA from 1 species